rnacentral:rRNA from 1 species
UACGUAGGGUGCAAGCGUUGUCCGGAAUCAUUGGGCGUAAAGCGCGCGUAGGUGGCCAUGUAAGUCCGCUGUGAAAGUCAAAGGCUCAACCUUUGAAUGCCGGUGGAUACUGCAUGGCUAGAGUACGGAAGAGGCGAGUGGAAUUCCUGGUGUAGCGGUGGAAUGCGCAGAUAUCAGGAGGAAAACCAAUAGCGAAGGCAGCUCGCUGGGACGUUACUGACACUGAGGCGCGAAAGCGUGGGGAGCGAACAGG